AUUGAACGCUGGCGGAAUGCUUUACACAUGCAAGUCGAGCGGCAGCGCGGGGCAACCUGGCGGCGAGCGGCGAACGGGUGAGUAAUACAUCGGAACGUGCCCAGACGUGGGGGAUAACUACUCGAAAGAGUAGCUAAUACCGCAUACGAUCUACGGAUGAAAGUGGGGGAUCGCAAGACCUCACGUUAUAGGAGCGGCCGAUGUCCGAUUAGCUAGUUGGUGGGUAAAGGCCUACCAAGGCGACGAUCGGUAGCUGGUCUGAGAGGAUGAUCAGCCACACUGGGACUGAGACACGGUCCGGACUCCUACGGGAGGCAGCAGUGGGGAAUAUUGGACAAUGGGGGAAACCCUGAGGCAGCGACGCCGCGUGGAGGAUGAAGGAUCUAGGUCUGUAAACUCCUUUUAUCGGGAAAGACUUAGGACGGUACCCGAUGAAUAAGCACCGGCUAACUACGUG
rnacentral:rRNA from 1 species